GCCUGGGUGGCUCAGUAGGUUAAGCAUCUGACUUUGGCUCAGGUCAUGAUCUCACAGUUCAUGGGUUCGAGCCCCACAUCUGGCU
rnacentral:tRNA from 1 species